AUGUUCAAGCUGGUUUUAGAAAAGGCAGAGGAAACCAGAGAUCAAAUUGCCAACAUCUGCUGGAUCAUGGAAAAAGCAAGAGAGUUCCAGAAAAACAUCUAUUUCUGCUUUAUUGACUAUGCCAAAGCCUUUGACUGUGUGGAUCACAAGAAACUGUGGAAAAUUCUGAAAGAGAUGGGAAUACCAGACCACCUGACCUGCCUCUUGAGAAACCUGUAUGCAGGUCAGGAAGCAACAGUUAGAACUGGACAUGGAACAACAGACUGGUUCCAAACAGGAAAAGGAGUAUGUCAAGGCUGUAUAUUGUCACCCUGUUUAUUUAACUUAUAUACAGAGUACAUCAUGAGAAACGCUGGACUGGAAGAAACACAAGCUGGAAUCGAGAUUGCCAGGAGAAAUAUCAAUAACCUCAGAUAUGCAGAUGACACCACCCUUAUGGCAGACAGUGAAGAGGAGCUAAAAAGCCUCUUGAUGAAAGUGAAAGAGGAGAGUGAAAAAGUUGGCUUACAGCUCAACAUUCAGAAAACGAAGAUCAUGGCAUCCGGUCCCCUCACUUCAUGGGAAAUAGACGGGGAAACAGUGGAAACAGUGUCAGACUUUAUUUUGGGGGGUUCCAAAAUCACUGCAGAAGGUGACUGCAGCCAUGAAAUUAAAAGACGCUUACUCCUUGGAAGAAAAGUUAUGACCAACCUAGAUAGCAUAUUGAAAAGCAGAGACAUUACUUUGCCGACUAAGGUCCGUCUAGUCAAGGCUAUGGUUUUUCCUGUGGUCAUGCAUGGAUGUGAGAGUUGGACUGUGAAGAAGGCUGAGCACCGAAGAAUUGAUGCGUUUGAACUGUGGUGUUGGAGAAGACUGUUGAGAGUCCCUUGUACUACAAGGAGAUCCAACCAGUCCAUUCUGAAGGAGAUCAACCCUGGGAUUUCUUUGGAAGGAAUGAUGCUAAAGCUGAAACUCCAGUACUUUGGCCACCUCAUGCGAAGAGUUGACUCACUGGAAAAGACUCUGAUGCUGGAGGGAUUGGGGGCAGGAAGAGAAGGGGAUGACAGAGGAUGA
rnacentral:lncRNA from 1 species